GUGCCUCUGGGCCAGUCACACUCCAAUUCUCAGGUUUCUCCUGGAAGGAGCCUUCCAGUGCCUCAAGUGCACACCUGAAAGAUGUCCUACUUAUCAUCUUAAAGUUGGCCAACCCACUCAGAAGCCACACCCCCCCUUGCCACAAUCUCACCAACAUACUCCACACUCACAACCAGAACCAGCCACAGUCUAACUUCAAUCCUUGCUGGCACUGCUAAAAUGAAGCACCACGGGGGACGGUGAUUCCGGUUGAAGCGACAGAGGGGCAGAGGGCAGAGAGCGAAGGUGCUCUUCUUCCAGGGCUGGGGAGCGGAGGGUGCUUGGAGAAGCGCGCGCAUCUCAGUUUCCUUGAGAGCUCAGUCUGGAACUUGGCUCUGCCCCAGCUUCUUGCUUUGACUCCAGUUGAUCAGACGUUACAAUCUGCCAACCUUGACCACUUGUGCAUGAGUCAAUCAACAGGUAGAGGCCACCAAUGUUUUGGAUUCCAUCAAAGAUGACAACCCUCAAGAAUAUACCAUAGGCAUGAGGUAGCCCACAGAAAUCGGGAGAAAAUUCUCAGCUCCUAUUGAAAGAAGACGGUAUAGCACAGAGCUUGGGUUUUGGAGCUAGAGAGACCUGGUUCUGAGAUCCACUUGCUCUGAAACUACCUGGCUGUGUUGCUUUGAACAAAUUUCUUAACCUCCCUGUGCCUCAGUUUCCCACUGUAAAAUGGGGACGAUAAAAUGUCAUACAUUUGGGGCAAGGGUCCCAUGAGUAAGCACUCAACACAUGUCAAUUACUAGGGGAUAUUUCUUUGUCUCUCUUUUAAAAAUAGGUUUCCCUUGUCCUUCCCCAUGACACAAUGAGGAAGCAAUGCCCAGAGUAAGUCAGUCAUGUCUUAGAUUUCACGCCAACUCACUGAAAUCGAGUAAAGAUGAGGAAAGAGAAGUUUCUGUUUGUACACCAAUGUCCUCAUCACUCACCACAGUUGUGCUGAUGGGAAAGAGAGGCUGCCGGAAGGAAACAAAAGUUCAUCAAGGGCUGGCAAAUAUUAAUCUGGGAGCUCACGGAUGGGCAGUGAUGCGCGCUCUCUGGCGGUAGGUGUUCCCUUCAUGUUCUUGCUACUUCUGGGCUGAGAGGAGUCCACACCUCACCCCUGCACUGAGGGCAGUCGCCGUGACGCUCCAUCGUCUUCUGUUCUCCAUCUACUUCCAGGCGCUUUCCAAGAGAAGGCUAGGGAGGUGGGAGAGAGACAGACAGUGGACUGAAGAUCUUGGUGAAGAAGAGAAGACAGAGCUCUCACUCCACAAUCGCCCUUUUCUCUAACAAUAUGCAUUUUCUUUUCCUAGAUUCAUGUUUUUUAACCAUGACCGUGCGUAAGAAUCACAAGAGGAAGCUUCAGAAAAAUUAUGCUGGGGCUUUAUCUCCAUUUAUUAGGAUUCAAAUUUCCGGGUGAGCCUUGAACAUGGGGAUUUUAAAAUAGCUCUUAAGUGAUUUCUGUAGGUAGCCAGGCUCGAGAAUCAUUGUCCUACUUGCAAAAUCCACCGAGAGUGUCCACAUCCCGCUCCCCUUACUUUACAGGAUAUGUGUAAAUAGUAACUGUGUAUAUACAUGUAUCUAUAAAGAUUUCUGUAUGUAAUCAUCUGUAUCUAUGUUAAGCUAAACCUGAUUCAUACUGAUGCUCCAACUCUAAGCCAUUCCCACAUGGAUUAUUCCAUCCCCCUGUCCUUGCUUGUCUGUAAUCUCUCACUCCGACAGUGAAAGACCUGGCUCCCACCAUCCUCCAUCCAUUUACUUAACUGUCCAGCUCCAGCAUACACAUCUAAUGGUUUCAGAAUUGUUUAUUCAUAUGCCUGUAUUCUUGCAAACUCCACUCGUUUCCAGAGUUACUUAGGUCAGUAUUUUGUUCCCCAACUCCAUUCAUUGAUGUUUUUACAUUUGUAAUUGAGAUUCUUUUGACACAUUCUGCGUUCCGACCUGGGAUCCCCCAAACCCUUAAAUGAUUUUUAAAAAAAUUUGUAUACAUUAAAGUUUGCUCGUUGUCCUGUAAAUUUCUACGGGUUCUGAUAAAUGCUUAAUGUUCUGUAUUCAUCAUUAUGGUAUAAUACAGAAUAAUUUCACCACCCUAAAAAAUUCUCUGUGUUUCAACUAUUCAACUCUCCUUCCCCUCCAAAUUCCUGGCAAGCACUAAGCUGUUUACCAUCUCUAUAGUUUUGCCUUUUCCAGUAUGUCAUAGAAUUAGAAGCUUACACUGUACAGCUCUUUCAGACCGGCUUCUUUCACUUAACAAUGUGCAAUUAAGAUCUAUCCAUGUCUUUUGAUGGCUUAUUGGCUCAUUUCUUUUUAUUGCUGAAUGAUAUUCCAUUAUGUGGAUGUACCAUAGUUUAUUUAUCCAUUUACCUAUUGGAGAAUGUCUUGGUUGUUUCCAGUUUGGGGCAAUUAUAAAUACAACUGCUAUUUGCAAGCAGAGUUUCGUGUGGACAUAAGUUUUCAAACCAGUUGGGCCAACAUCUAUGAGUGUGAUUGCUGAAUCAUAGGAUGAGACUAUGUUUAGUUUUACAAGAAACUGACAAAUUGUCUUCCAAAGUAGCUGUAUUUUGCAUUUCCACCAGCAAUGAAUGAGAGACCCUAUUACUUUGCAUCCUUGCCAAAAGCUGGUAUUGUCAGUUUUUGGAUUUUAGUCAUUUCUAAUAGACAUAUAGUGGAAUUUCGUUGUUUUAAUUUGCAAUUCCCUAAAGAUAAAUAAUACUGAGUAUCUUUCAUGUGGUUAAUUGCCAUCUAUAUACCUUCUUUGGUGACGUUCUGUUCAUAUCUUUUACGCAUUUUUUAAUUGGGUUUUUGUUUUCGUAUUGUUGAGUUUUGAGAGUUCUUUGUAUAUUUUUUGAUACGUUAUUUAUUAGUAUGUGUUUUGUAGAUAUUUUCUUCCAAUCAAUAGCUUGUCUUUUCAUUCUCUCAACAGUGUCUUUGUACAACAGGAGUUUUCAAUUUUAAUAAAGUCUGACAUCAAUUUUCUUC
ensembl:lncRNA